UAAAAUAUACAAACUGAAAUUAAAGAGUUUAAGGGAGAGAGAGAUUGCACACACAGUUUAUACUGGUUUACUCUUAAACCAAGAGCUACAUCUAGUCUUCCCAGAAACUAUUGGGGAAUCCACUAAGUAACCAAACCUUGAUUACUUACACACACCACCAAAGAACCUUGAUCCCCUCAAGACUCACACUUCCUUUGGCUCAGCACAUACACCACUAAGCAUGUGGAUCUUGACAACCUCAAGAGCACACAACACUUAUUGGCCUAUCACACCAGAGUUUACACAAAGUACAGAAGGAUUAGACUUGUUACAAAAUGAUCUGAAAUGAAUAGAAAUGAAAAUCCUAUUCCACUCUCUCUUGAUCAAAGCAAUCUCAAAGCAAUCUUUAACUCUUGAAAGCAAAAUCAGUGAAAAACUCAAAUAUGUUUUUCUAUGAUUAAAUCUCAGUUCUUGUUUGUUACAAAAGCUGAACAAACUCUUUAUAGCUUUCGAAGACUGGUCAAAGCAUUUAAAACAGGAGUGCAUUGAGUUACAAAAUCAUUUAAAGCUUAGUCAACACUCAAAACAAUUUUCUGUUAUGGUUUGAAAUCAAACAAUCGGUUGAAUGUGCGAAUCAAUCAGUUGUUUUGGUUUGACAACAAGUCAACCAUCAAAAAAAGUUUUCAACAUUUCUCAAAACACCUAAGAGUAAAACAAUCGGUUGUUUCGACAAAACAACAGGUUGUUUUUCACUUAGUUUGAAAAACACUUUCAAUUCAAAAGGUUUGAGAAUACUUAAGCUUUGGAUUCAAUCAAGAGUGGAUUUACACAGAUAAUCUACCCCAGAUCCUAUUCUAAAACACCUCAGCAAAAGCAAGCACAUCCAGCCUUCCAUCAAACUCAAAGGAUUUGGAUUCUUCAAAGCUUGAACACACUUGAUUCAAUAAUCUCCCCCUAUUUGAUGAAGACAAAUCCUUGGUUUCUAGUGUUGGAUUUGAUUGAAUCUGAAACAGUUCCUGCAAAACAAAGUUUAAGCAAAGCACUCUGAUAGAAGGUUAGAACAGAAGAACAAAAACAGCAUAUCAGCAGUAUUAAAAACCAGUCUAUCAGCAGAAAAAAAGCUCACUUAAACACUUAAACACAACAUAGAGUUUGCAGAAAAUAAAAGACA
rnacentral:lncRNA from 1 species